CCUACGGGAGGCAGCAGUGGGGAAUAGUGCACAAUGGGGGAAACCCUGAUGCAGCGACGCCGCGUGAAGGAAGAAGUAUUUCGGUAUGUAAACUUCUAUCAGCAGGGAAGAAAAUGACGGUACCUGACUAAGAAGCCCCGGCUAACUACGUGCCAGCAGCCGCGGUAAUACGUAGGGGGCAAGCGUUAUCCGGAUUUACUGGGUGUAAAGGGAGCGUAGGCGGUUUAGCAAGUCAGAAGUGAAAGCCCGGGGCUCAACUCCGGGACUGCUUUUGAAACUGUUGAACUAGAGUGCAGGAGAGGUAAGUGGAAUUCCUAGUGUAGCGGUGAAAUGCGUAGAUAUUAGGAGGAACACCAGUGGCGAAGGCGGCUUACUGGACUGUAAAUGACGCUGAGGCUCGAAAGCGUGGGGAGCAAACAGGAUUAGAUACCCCAGUAGUC
rnacentral:rRNA from 1 species